rnacentral:rRNA from 1 species
AAUGGCGACCAUACCACAUCGAAAGCAUCGGUUCUCGUCCGAUCACCGCAGUUAAGUAACGUUGGACCCGGUCAGUACUUGCAUAGGUGACCAGCUGGGAAUACCAGGUGUCGCCGGCU